UACGUAGGUCCCAAGCGUUAUCCGGAAUUACUGGGUGUAAAGCGUCUGUAGGCGGGUUUGUAAGUUUCAUAUGAAAGACCAGGGCUCAACCCUGUGUUUGUAUGAAAAACUAUUUACCUAGAAUUAGGGAGAGGUAAACGGAAUGGUAAGAGUAGAGGUGCAAUUCGUAGAUACUUACCAGAACACCAAAAGCGAAGGCAGUUUACUGGAACUAUAUUGACGCUGAGAGACGAAAGCGUGGGGAGCGAAAAGG
rnacentral:rRNA from 1 species